rnacentral:rRNA from 1 species
UGCUACUAAGAGCUUACGGAGGAUGCCUUGGCGCCAAGUGCCGAUGAAGGACGUGGGACACUGCGAAAAGUCUCGAAGAGCCGUGUACAGGCUUCGAUCCGAGAAUGUCCGAAUAGGGAAACCUGCUACAGCGAACCUGUAGCGUCCCUGGUUGAACACAUAGACCAGGUGACGGGCACCCGGGGAACUGAAACAUCUAAGUACCCGGAGGAAAAGAAAGUAUUCCCCUAGUAGUGGCGAGCGAACGGGGAACAGCCCAAACCGUCUCUGCUUGCAGAGGCGGGGUUGUAGGGUCUGGCACAUGGGAGUUACAAAACAAUCAGUUAGCAGAAAGGUAUGGGAAAGCCUGCCAUAGAGGGUAACAGCCCCGUAUGUGAAAACUAAUUGUCUCCCGCCGGAUACCUGAGUACUGCCGUGCACGCUAAUACGGCAGGAAUCUGGGGAGUCCACUCUCCAAGGCUAAAUACACUUGGCGACCGAUAGUGAACAAGUACCGUGAGGGAAAGGUGAAAAGUCCCCCUGUUAGGGGAGUGAAAUAGAACCUGAAACCGUAAGCUUACAAUCAGUCGGAGGGCUAACAGCGUGUCGGUGCUAUGGAGCGAUCCUGUGCGCGGCGCUAUGCCUGACGGCGUGCCUCUUGGAGAAUGAGCCUGCGAGUUAAUCUCAGUGGCAAGGUUAAGGGAGUGACACCCGAAGCCGUAGCGAAAGCGAGUCUGAAUAGGGCGUAUAGUUGCUGGGAUUAGACACGAAACCGGGUGAGCUACCCAUGGGCAGGGUGAAGCGAGUCUAAACGCUCGUGGAGGCCCGAACCUACUAACGUUGCAAAGUUAGGGGAUGACCUGUGGGUAGAGGUGAUAUGCCAAUCGAACUCGGAGAUAGCUUGUUCUCCCCGAAAUAGUUUUAGGACUAGCGUCACACGUUUAGUACUGGAGGUACAGCACUGAAUGGGCUAAGGGGCUUAUAGCUUACUGAACCCAAUCAAACUCGGAAUGCCAGUACUCCAAGUGUGGCAGUCGGACUCCGGGAGAUGAGUUUCGGGGUCGAAAGGGAAACAGCCCAGAUCAUCGGCUAAGGUCCUCAAAUCUAUGCUAAGUGGGAAACGAGGUGAGGUUACUUGAACAACCAGGAGGUUGGCUUAGAAGCAGCCACCCUUUAAAAAGUGCGUAACAGCUUACUGGUCUAGUGACCUUGCGCGGAAAACUUAACGGGGCUAAGCAUAGUACCGAAGCCAUGAAUCUCAGCCACCCUCGGGUGCGCUGGGGUAGUAGGGGAGCGUUCCGCCAGCAGGGAAGGUCGACCGGCAAGGGCGACUGGAGCGGGCGGAAGUGAGAAUGCAGGCAUGAGUAGCGUACAAACACGUGAGAACCGUGUUCGCCGUAAGUCUAAGGUUUCCGACGCCAGGUCAUUCCGCGUCGGGUUAGUCGGGUCCUUAGCCGAGGCCGUGAGGCGUAGGUGAUGGACAUCCGGUCAACAUUCCGGAACCGUUUGGAAGGAGCGAUGGGAGGACACAGCGAGGUAGGCCAGCCUGACCUAUUGGACAUGGUCGGGUGCGCAGCCGUCAGGCGUUGAGACUGGCAGGUAAAUCCGCCGGUUGAGCUGAGGUCUGUGCCAAGCCUUCAAGGCGUAAGUGGUUGAGCCUUGCUGUCAAGAAAAGUCCCUAAGCGUUGAGUUUCAAAUGCCCGUACCGCAAACCGACACUGGUAGACGGGUGUAAAUGCACCAAGGCGAUCGGGAGAAUCUUCGUUAAGGAACUAGGCAAAAUGGCCCCGUAACUUCGGGAGAAGGGGCGCUUGCUGGGGUGUUAAAGCCCUGGCGAGCCGCAGUAAAUUGGUUCUAGUGACUGGUUAACAAAACCACAGGUCUCUGCUAAGCCGUAAGGCGAUGUAUAGGGGCUGACGCGUGCCCAGUGCCGGAAGGUUAAAGGGAGAGGUUAGCGUAAGCGAAGCUUUGAACUGAAGCCCCGGUGAACGGCGGCCGUAACUAUAACGGUCCUAAGGUAGCGAAAUUCCUUGUCGGGUAAGUUCCGACCCGCACGAACCGCGUAACAACUAGAACGGUGUCUCAACGAGGAACCCGGUGAAAUUGAAAUGGCUGUGAAGAUGCGGCCUACCCGCAGUAGGACAAAAAGACCCCGUGGAGCUUUACUGCAUCUUGGCAUUGUGUUUGAGCAUGAUCUGUGUAGCAUAGGUGGGAGGCUUUGAAGCUGGCGCGUCAGCGUCGGUGGAGCCUUCAGUGAAAUACCACCCUGAUUAUACUUAGACCCUAACCCCAUUCCGUCAUCCGGAUGGGGGACCGUGCCAGGUGGGCAGUUUGACUGGGGCGGUCGCCUCCCAAAAAGUAACGGAGGCGCCCAAAGGUUCCCUCAGGCAGAAUGGAAACCUGCCACAGAGUGUAAAGGCAUAAGGGAGCUUGACUGCAAGACCAACGCGUCGAGCAGAGACGAAAGUCGGGCUUAGUGAUCCCACGGUUCUGAGUGGAAGGGCCGUGGCUUACCGGAUAAAAGCUACCCCGGGGAUAACAGGCUGGUGAAGUCCAAGAGUCCAUAUCGACGACUUCGCUCGGCACCUCGAUGUCGGCUCAUCGCAUCCUGGGGCUGUACAAGGUCCCAAGGGUCGGGCUGUUCGCCCGUUAAAGCGGUACGCGAGCUGGGUUCAGACCGUCGUGAGACAGGUCGGUCUCUAUCCACUGUGGGCGUAAGGGAUUUGAGAGGAGCUACCCCUAGUACGAGAGGACCGGGGCGGACGAACCUCUGGUGUGUCAGUUGUUCCGCCAGGAGCAUUGCUGAGUAGCUACGUUCGGCAGAGAUAACCGCUGAAAGCAUCUAAGUGGGAAACUCGCCUCAAGAUGAGAUCCCUGUAUUCCUUAUGGAGUAAGACCGCAGGUAGACUACCUGCUAUAUAGGCGACAAGUGUAAGCACAGUAAUGUGUUCAGCUAAGUCGUACUAAUGGUCGA